UGGCAGUCCUUGCCUGCAGGUCAUCUGAACUGGCUCUCCCCUGUGUUGGCUACAAAUGUCCAACUCGGGAUCCUUAAUAUUCUGGUUUAUUAGGCAGAUUGAAACACUGUAA